rnacentral:rRNA from 1 species
AGAGUUUGAUCAUGGCUCAGAACGAACGCUGGCGGCGUGGAUAAGACAUGCAAGUCGAACGCUGAUUUCAGGGUAGCAAUAUCUUGAAGUUGGAGUGGCGCAAGGGUGCGUAACACGUGGGUAAUUUGCCGUGAAGUUGGGAAUAACUCGCUGAAAGGCGAGCUAAUGCCGAAUGUGACAGCCGGGAGGAUCUCCUGGUUUUCAAAGCUGGGGACCGCAGGGCCUGGGCUUCACGAUAAGCCCGCGGCCUAUCAGCUAGUUGGGAGGUAACGCUCACCAAGGCUAAGACGGGUAGCUGGUCUGAGAGGACGACCAGCACACUGGAACUGAGACACGGUCCAGACACCUACGGGUGGCAGCAGUCGAGAAUUUUUCUCAAUGGGCGAAAGCCUGAAGGAGCGACGCCGCGUGGGGGAUGAAGGGCUUCGGCCCGUAAACCCCUGUCAUUUGCGAACAAACCUUACGGUCUAACACAUCGUGAGCUGAUUGUAGCGAAAGAGGAAGGGACGGCUAACUCUGUCCAGCAGCCGCGGUAAUACAGAGGUCCCAAGCGUUGUUCGGAUUCACUGGGCGUAAAGGGUGCGUAGGUGGCGGGGUAAGUUUGAUGUGAAAUCUCCGGGCUUAACCCGGAAACUGCAUUGAAUACUAUCUCGCUCGAGGUUUGGAGGGGGGACUGGAAUUCUCGGUGUAGCAGUGAAAUGCGUAGAUAUCGAGAGGAACACCAGUGGCGAAGGCGAGUCCCUGGACAACACCUGACACUGAGGCACGAAAGCUAGGGGAGCAAACAGGAUUAGAUACCCNNGUAGUCC